CAUAUACUUCCUUCAUCCGAAAAUACUUGUCAUCAAAAUAAAUUAAAAAAAAUGUAUUUAGACUAAAAUACAUCUAGAUACAUUUUUUUAUUCUUUUUCAUGACAAGUAUUUUCGAACGGAGGAAGUACUAG
rfam:Triticum aestivum genome assembly, contig: Triticum_aestivum_CS42_TGACv1_scaffold_288413_4AL